rnacentral:rRNA from 1 species
GACGAACGCUGGCGGCGUGCCUAACACAUGCAAGUCAGGGAGAAGGAGGUAGCAAUACUUCCGGAAACCGGCGCACGGGUGAGUAGCACGUAGGUAACCUACCCUUGAGCGGGGAACAACAUCGAGAAAUCGGUGCUAAUACCGCAUAAUGCAACGAGACCGCAUGGUUUUGUUUGUUAAAGAUCCGCAAGGAUCACUUGAGGAUGGACCUGCGCCCGAUUAGCUAGUUGGCGGAGUAAAGCCCACCAAGGCAACGAUCGGUAGCCGACCUGAGAGGGUGAUCGGCCACACUGGAACUGAGAUACGGUCCAGACUCCUACGGGAGGCAGCAGUGAGGAAUAUUGGUCAAUGGCCGAAAGGCUGAACCAGCAACGCCGCGUGAGGGACGAAG